CCUACGUGAGGCAGCAGUGGGGAAUAUUGCACAAUGGGGGAAACCCUGAUGCAGCGACGCCGCGUGAGUGAAGAAGUAUUUCGGUAUGUAACGCUCUAUCAGCAGGGAAGAAAAUGACGGUACCUGAUUAAGAAGCCCCGGCUAACUACGUGCCAGCAGCCGCGGUAAUACGUAGGGGGCAAGCGUUAUCCGGAUUUACUGGGUGUAAAGGGAGCGUAGACGGCAGCGCAAGUCUGAAGUGAAAUGCCGGGGCUUAACCCCGGAACUGCUUUGGAAACUGUGCAGCUAGAGUGCAGGAGAGGUAAGUGGAAUUCCUAGUGUAGCGGUGAAAUGCGUAGAUAUUAGGAAGAACACCAGUGGCGAAAGCGGCUCUCUGGUCUGUAACUGACGCUGAGGUUCGAAAGCGUGGGUAGCAAACAGGAUUAGAUACCCUAGUAGUC
rnacentral:rRNA from 1 species